ACUCCUACGGGAGGCAGCAGUGGGGAAUCUUAGACAAUGGGGGCAACCCUGAUCUAGCCAUGCCGCGUGAGUGAUGAAGGCCCUAGGGUUGUAAAGCUCUUUCAGCUGGGAAGAUAAUGACUGUACCAGCCAAAGAAGCCCCGGCUAACUCCGUGCCAGCAGCCGCGGUAAU
rnacentral:rRNA from 1 species